AUUUUGAUAACUGGACAGCACAAAUGGAUGAGAUGACACGAAGACUGAAGAUGAAAUCGGAAGUCUGGGAGACUUUAAAAAAGACUGUGAAAGCUCUCAAAGAACCGAAGAACAUAUUACUACUGGGCAGCUUCGGCACCGGAAAAUCCUCGUUUAUAAACACCGUUAUAACAACAUUAACGGGGAAGAAUGACUAUUACGUUGACAUUGGUUGCGGAAGUAAGCACAAUACAACCAGAUUCCAGAGGAUAUCCCGUGAAGAGUAUUGGAACCCUGAUGAAGAAGUGGACAAAUUUUUAAACCUCCCGACUUUCAUCGACAUCAUAGGAAUGGACCCCCUGCUGUCGACAUCAGAAGAUGAAGAAACGGUCAACAGCCAAAUCAUGAACCUGGCCAUCAACGGCAAACUGCCGGAGGACGCCGACCUGCUCGAUCUGGGGAAGAAACUCAAGGAUAAAAAACAAUUAAAAGAAAGACCAGAAGAAAAAACGCUAUCUGUGGACAUUAUCAUCGUUGUGAUAUCAGCGGAAAAUCCAGAUAUUCCCCAGGCCCUGAUUGACGAAAUCUACAAAGAGGCGAACGUUAAAAAGAAACGUAAAAUUGUUUACUAGUAAUAGUAUUUCAUUUCUUAGAUUACUAGAGUAAGAGAGUAGUCAUGUAAUACUUUUAGCUUCAGAUCUGCACCUCUUGGAAAGAGGUAAUUUGAUUGACAGACCCGAUACUAGCUUAUUGUUCUGCACAUAUAUAAAACUUGCAAUGUAUUGCCUACAGAAAUGUUUUGGACAUAUUUCGUAAAUUUCAACCAGUUGAUCAAUACUGGACACAAAUUCAAGACAUCUUGUUACUUUAUUAAUUUGCAUUUGUGGCUUCUCAACUCUGGAAAAAUUUAAUCCACGGUCGCCAAUUUUACCUGUAAGUAAAUAUGUAAUUAGAUAAUAUGCAUUUCAAGGAUUCAUGGAACUUUCAGAUAGUACAUUAACAACAUACGUUCUUAAUUGUUGUACAUGAUUGUAUGUGUUACAGUAUAUUUACUAAGUAUAAUUUCCUCUAUUUCUUACGGAAAUUUAUAGUUCAUUCAUAGCUCAAUAGAAGCAACCAGGCUGAUAUCUACACGCCCGUUUAUCGAUUGGUCGAAAUCUUACAGCGGACUGAAAUUGACACGCUUAGUUUAUCGAUUGGUCAAAACCUACAGCGACCUAAGAAAUACCACGGACUGCACGAAAUAAUCAUGAUGAUGUCAGACUCAAAGUCUCACAGAAGACUGUUUCUUUUGGCUAACGUACUUAUGUAUAUUAACAGUAAUUUAGUGAAUUUUUACUUACUUUUCGUAAUCAAUUUAUUAAUUAGUUAAAAGAAUGAUGUUAAUAUAAACAAUAAAAUGCUUUCUUUGAUGAUUCAUGCGGAUUAUGAAGGUAGCGAUCAUUGCAGAAAAAGAAAAUUCUGCAAUAUCGCUAUCUUCAUAUCCCGAAUGAAUCACCAAAGAAAGCAUUUUAUUGUUCAAAUAUAUUCACACAUACCCUGUACCUAUUGACAGGUUGUGUUCAAAAUCCAGAGAAAGAAAAAAAAACUGCACGUUUUAGUGAACAUAAGAAAAAUGCUUUCCUUGUCUGUCAAUCGAAGCUAUAGAUCUGAAGCUAAUCACGCACCAAUGUAGAUUUAAAGAUAAGAUAAUAUCAAGUACAUGUAAAAAUGUUCUUUUGUUUUUAGAGAUCCCGGUGUUUGCUGUCAUAACAAAGGUAGAUAAAUGUGCCCUGUCUGAGCAGGAACUAGAGGAUAAAAAGACAGGGAUUUGCGAAGCAAUUGGCAUCGCCUCUGACAAAGUCUUAAUGUGUAGCAAUUACCAACCCAAUCAACCACUGGAUACAAAUAAAGAUAUCAGUGUAUUGGAAUUUUUGACAAAGCUGUGCAAUCCGCGUUUCAAGGCUGUUACACUACAGAAGAUGGAAUGUGAAGAACCAGAACCAGAACCAGAGCCCGCCCCAGUUCCUGCUCCCUCUCCACCGAAUAAUGAUUCUCCUUUUGGUGUAAAGUUACUGCAGGGCGCUUUUCUUUGCCUGGUGAUCGCCAUCCUUUUAGGCAUGAUAUUGCACCUUUUGUCCAAAGACAGAAAAUACAAAAGUUAAAGAUACAUUAUAUACUUUUCAUACUUUUCUGUUCAUACAGCAUUACUCUGGAAUAUUAUCAUGAUUAAUAUUUUAACUGUAUAUUAGGUAUUGUAAAUUUUAUAUAUUGUUUGUAUUUUGGGUCUGUGGACGUUUUGUUCAUUCAAUUUAAAAGUGUUCUUUAUUUCUUGUUACUUGAAUGUCGAUGUGUUACACCACAGUACAUUGAGAGAUAAGAGAUGAAUUAUCUACAUAACAACACAUUAAUGUUUCUACUUUCGUAACAAAAAGUAGUUAAAAUCAUACAUCCGACCAAUGGGUAAGUCUUAAACCUGUUUUGAAAUGAUUUAUAUGCAUUAUAACUCCAGAACUUUUACCAUGGCUAGGGUUAGAAUAACAAAAUUGUUUAAAUUAACAUUUAGUCUGGCUUUUAAUUUGUUCCUAUCUGAAUAUGUUUCAAUGUAUUAUAAAGGGGAUCCCCUGUUCAAA
rnacentral:misc_RNA from 1 species